rnacentral:rRNA from 1 species
GGCGAACGGGUGAGUAACACGUGGGUGACCUGCCCUUCACUCUGGGAUAAGCCUGGGAAACUGGGUCUAAUACCGGAUAUUCACGCAUCUUCGCAUGGGGGUGGGUGGAAAGUUUUUCGGUGGGGGAUGGGCCCGCGGCCUAUCAGCUUGUUGGUGGGGUGAUGGCCUACCAAGGGCGACGACGGGUAGCCGGCCUGAGAGGGCGACCGGCCACACUGGGACUGAGACACGGCCAGACUCCUACGGGAGGCAGCAGUGGGGAAUAUUGCGCAAUGGGCGGAAGCCUGACGCAGCGACGCCGCGUGGGGGAUGACGGCCUUCGGGUUGUAAACCUCUUUCGACCUCGACGAAGCUUUCGGGUGACGGUAGGGGUAGAAGAAGCACCGGCCAACUACGUGCCAGCCGCCGCGG